CCAAUGAGAAACAAAUGAAUAUGCAGUGAUUCGCCACUUGCUGUAAACGCAUCGCCAACAAUUCCCGCUGCUGUGUUCUCUUCUGUUUUUAUCAUCAAUUAAAAAGGCUCUGUUUCGUUAGGGGCAUUUUUGCCCCCUCCCGAAAAUGGAAAGAAGCAGCAAACAGCCCUCGGAGAAGGCACAAAGCUCUUCUGAGAAAUGUCUAGCAGAGACAGCUUCUUACAGUAACACUUUAUUUUAAUGGUCCUUUAAUGCAGAAAUUGACCAUGGUCGUCCCUCUUAGGCCUCAUUCACCCUAAAUAAAAAUGACCUUGUUGCCAGAGAUAGGUCCUAACAAGGUAUCAACCCCGGGGGUAGCCCAGGGGAGGCAGCGGGGCAAGAGAAAUGCCCUCUCUCUGCCACGGCUGCAGUUCCUGCCUGUGACCUUGCACCCUCCCAUCCAGCUUUCCAUUUCCUUAUUUAGAUGAGGCUCCCUUAUACUCGGAGGGAACGAUUCCUCUGCUGAGACUCCAUGGCUAUCAGCUUUCUGAGAAGUGGUUUGUUCUUCCAAGAAACCAAAGGGAGCCUGGUUGGUGUGCGUGCUGGCUUGUGGCUGAGCCGAGGGAGCCAUGGAGGGCAGCUCACGACGGACCAUCAGGACACCGGGCUCCUGAGCCCUCGACAUCCACUCAUCACGAGCGGCAGGUUGAAGGCUGAACCACUGAACAAGAUAAUGAGAAUGUGUGAGGACCCUGGUUCGACACCUGCCCUGUGUUGAGAAGUGUUGGAGAAGGGGGCUGCCGGGAGAGACACAGUGCCCUCAGCCCAGAAAUGGUAGGUAGUCCCUUUCAGAAAAUAAUUACCAAAUUACCAAUAAUAAUAAGUUGAAAACAUUAUAUUUUGCAUUAUAGGGUUUCUAAGAAGAAAGAGAAUUGUAAAGCUCUGAUCCUUUAAAACGCUGGAGAAAGCUCCUGGGAGGAAGUGAGACUUGUCUGAGGGCUGAUAGAAGAAUGAGUAUCAUUAAAUGCACUGGAAAAAGAAGAUCAUUCCAGGGACAAGACUUUACAGAAGUACCGACGCGAGAAUGAGGGGUCCAAACUCUCUAGAAGACUCCAAUGAAUGGAGACAGGCCUCAGUCAAUUUUACACCAUGAGUGCAAAUUUAAGCUGGAUUAGUCUGGCCCUGCUAAGUACCUUGCUCAGGAACUGAAAUAUUAUAGCUGCAACAUGGCUAGCAGAGGAAAUGAAAUGGAAGCCCAUAAACCCUGAAGUGGAUAGCAGGAGCGCAAAUUCAGAGAACGAAGCAAAGUUUUAUUUUGGGGCUGUACCAUAAAGGUGACUUAGGUAGACCCAAGGGCCAGGGUUCUGUGUGCAUGUGUGCGGGCCCUUAGUGAUCAUUAACUUUGGAGGGGGAAAAAAAAAUGUUACAUGGCCCUGCAAAUAAAAAUGAUGAAGGUAUUUCUUGUAGCUAUUUC
rnacentral:lncRNA from 1 species